rnacentral:rRNA from 1 species
CUGUAAGCCUGCGAAGGUGGCCUGUGAGGGUUGCUGGAGGUAUCAGAAGUGCGAAUGCUGACAUAAGUAACGAUAAAGCGGGUGAAAAGCCCGCUCGCCGGAAGACCAAGGGUUCCUGUCCAACGUUAAUCGGGGCAGGGUGAGUCGACCCCUAAGGCGAGGCCGAAAGGCGUAGUCGAUGGGAAACGGGUUAAUAUUCCCGUACUUGGUGUUACUGCGAAGGGGGGACGGAGAAGGCUAUGUUGGCCGGGCGACGGUUGUCCCGGUUUAAGCGUGUAGGUGUGUGUUCCAGGUAAAUCCGGUUCACUUUAACACUGAGGCGUGAUGACGAGGCACUACGGUGCUGAAGCAACAAAUGCCCUGCUUCCAGGAAAAGCCUCUAAGCAUCAGGUAACAUCAAAUCGUACCCCAAACCGACACAGGUGGUCAGGUAGAGAAUACCAAGGCGCUUGAGAGAACUCGGGUGAAGGAACUAGGCAAAAUGGUGCCGUAACUUCGGGAGAAGGCACGCUGACACGUAGGUGAAGUGAUUUACUCAUGGAGCUGAAGUCAGUCGAAGAUACCAGCUGGCUGCAACUGUUUAUUAAAAACACAGCACUGUGCAAACACGAAAGUGGACGUAUACGGUGUGACGCCUGCCCGGUGCCGGAAGGUUAAUUGAUGGGGUCAGCGCAAGCGAAGCUCCUGAUCGAAGCCCCGGUAAACGGCGGCCGUAACUAUAACGGUCCUAAGGUAGCGAAAUUCCUUGUCGGGUAAGUUCCGACCUGCACGAAUGGCGUAAUGAUGGCCAGGCUGUCUCCACCCGAGACUCAGUGAAAUUGAACUCGCUGUGAAGAUGCAGUGUACCCGCGGCAAGACGGAAAGACCCCGUGAACCUUUACUAUAGCUUGACACUGAACAUUGAGCCUUGAUGUGUAGGAUAGGUGGGAGGCUUUGAAGUGUGGACGCCAGUCUGCAUGGAGCCGACCUUGAAAUACCACCCUUUAAUGUUUGAUGUUCUAACGUGGACCCGUGAUCCGGGUUGCGGACAGUGUCUGGUGGGUAGUUUGACUGGGGCGGUCUCCUCCUAAAGAGUAACGGAGGAGCACGAAGGUUGGCUAAUCCUGGUCGGACAUCAGGAGGUUAGUGCAAUGGCAUAAGCCAGCUUGACUGCGAGCGUGACGGCGCGAGCAGGUGCGAAAGCAGGUCAUAGUGAUCCGGUGGUUCUGAAUGGAAGGGCCAUCGCUCAACGGAUAAAAGGUACUCCGGGGAUAACAGGCUGAUACCGCCCAAGAGUUCAUAUCGACGGCGGUGUUUGGCACCUCGAUGUCGGCUCAUCACAUCCUGGGGCUGAAGUAGGUCCCAAGGGUAUGGCUGUUCGCCAUUUAAAGUGGUACGCGAGCUGGGUUUAGAACGUCGUGAGACAGUUCGGUCCCUAUCUGCCGUGGGCGCUGGAGAACUGAGGGGGGCUGCUCCUAGUACGAGAGGAC